rnacentral:rRNA from 1 species
UACGUAGGGUCCAAGCGUUGUUCGGAUUUACUGGGCGUAAAGCGCGCGUAGGCGGCUCGGUAAGUCACUUGUGAAAUCUCUGAGCUUAACUCAGAACGGCCAAGUGAUACUGCAGUGCUAGAGUGUGGAAGGGGCAAUCGGAAUUCUUGGUGUAGCGGUGAAAUGCGUAGAUAUCAAGAGGAACACCUGAGGUGAAGACGGGUUGCUGGGCCAACACUGACGCUGAUGCGCGAAAGCCAGGGGAGCAAACGGG